rnacentral:rRNA from 1 species
ACGGAGGGUGCAAACGUUGCUCGGAAUCAUUGGGCGUAAAGCGCACGUAGGCGGCCUGUUAAGUCGGAUGUGAAAGCCCCGGGCUCAACCCGGGAAGUGCAUACGAAACUGGCAGGCUUGAAUAUGGAAGAGGGUCGCGGAAUUCCCGGUGUAGAGGUGAAAUUCGUAGAUAUCGGGAGGAACACCAGUGGCGAAGGCGGCGACCUGGGCCAACACUGACACUGAGGCACGAAAGCGUGGGGAGCAAACAGGA